UCCUGCAUACAAUAAGUAGCCAGCAGGCGGCGAAACCUAUAGUAUGUGAUAUUAAUUGUUUUUCUUCUUUCAUGAUGUAUUCUAUAUUUGUUAAUUUAUAUGGAAACGUAUUCAGCGAUGCCGCUGUCGCCACCCCUCACAGAAGCGUCAUCAUUCACACUGUAGUUAAACGAUAAUUGUGAGCACCAGUAACUCUAAUCCAAAUGACCUAAACUGAUUGGCAGAUAUGAAUGAUGCCAACCGUGCUUUCAUGUCAGUUUAUAUUCAAUAAAUAUUAACAAAACCAUAUUGUUUGUGCCGUGUGGUUAGGACCUAAUUGUAGACGAUUUAAACAGUUUUCUUUUCGGUUUUUCUCGUUUGUUUAAUUUUUUCUUUAAAUGAUAUAUUUAAACAACGAACCAUUACAUUACUGAUACGAUGCGACGGUAAAAAACACAAGUGUGUCAUUCGUACGUACAAAAUGACACCGUCCUUUCCUCGGAAUUGUCGUCGAUCAUCGUUCAUUUCUCAAGACUAAGCGUUACGCCGACGCUGUUUCGAUAUGUACCAUUCCUAACAGGGAGCAAAGGCGUUCGGUAAAAGAAAGUACAGCUCUUUCUAAGGAACGUUUGUGCCAAGUGGAAAAGCCUCUGGGGCUACGUACUAAGCACAGAAACCUUAACCAGCAUUUUACGGUCGUACGUGGACGUCUGAUACACCGCACCACGUUGACAUCACAGAAUGACGCAAUAGCUACACUACCGAGCCAUUGUAAUAAAAACACCAGCAUAUAGCAGGCAAAGCCUCAGGCGGCAGGAAAUAGGUACGGCUGUUAGGCAAUUUCGAAUCCUUACCUGCAGCUCGUUCGAAGAUGGAAUCAAUCUUGAGGUGCAUGGAACUUGAACCAAUGAUUGCGGUCGUGGGACAAAGUACCUGUGCGACCAGUUCGCUUUUUGACGCAAGGUCUUCGACGACUGCUUCGAACACGAAAUCUGCCUCGCGGACCGCCUCUUCUAGGCGAG